rnacentral:rRNA from 1 species
AGAACUUAGCAGAGAUGCUUUGGUGCCUUCGGGGAACUCUGAGACAGGUGCUGCAUGGCUGUCGUCAGCUCGUGUUGUGAAAUGUUGGGUUAAGUCCCGCAACGAGCGCAACCCUUAUCCUUUGUUGCCAGCGGUUAGGCCGGGAACUCAAAGGAGACUGCCAGUGAUAAACUGGAGGAAGGUGGGGAUGACGUCAAGUCAUCAUGGCCCUUACGAGUAGGGCUACACACGUGCUACAAUGGCGCAUACAAAGAGAAGCGACCUCGCGAGAGCAAGCGGACCUCAUAAAGUGCGUCGUAGUCCGGAUUGGAGUCUGCAACUCGACUCCAUGAAGUCGGAAUCGCUAGUAAUCGUGGAUCAGAAUGCCACGGUGAAUACGUUCCCGGGCCUUGUACACACCGCCCGUCACACCAUGGGAGUGGGUUGCAAAAGAAGUAGGUAGCUUAACCUUCGGGAGGGCGCUUACCACUUUGUGAUUCAUGACUGGGGUGAAGUCGUAACAAGGUAAGCGUAGUGCU